rnacentral:lncRNA from 1 species
AGUACACUGUAGCCGUCUUCAGACACUCCAGAAGAGGCAGUCAGAUUUCAUUACGGAUGGUUGUGAGCCACCAUGUGGUUGCUGGGACUUGAACUCCGGACCUUCGGAAGAGCAGUCGGGUGCUCUUACCCGCUGAGCCAUCUCACCAGCCCAGUCCCCAUCUUUGAAAGUACAUUCUGCCAAAUUAAUGAUAGUUAAGACUUCAUGUGCCUGUGAGAGGAAGAAUUCAGCCCACAGCAGAACGUAAAAUGGGGUCUGAAGGACAAGUUCAUUUGGAGGGAAGAGUUGGAACAGACCACAGUUGGGCCCUGCUUGAUAUGCAGUGCUGAAGAACUGGUCCACCAUCUCUCUGAAAACCAUCCAUGCUUCCAUGAAGCUGACCCAUUCCCUAGGAAUGCUGGUUGUUUAAGAAAAUUUAGCCUUUAGCCAUUCAGCAGAGCUUUUUUUUUUUUUAAACUCAGAAAGAAGAACACUCCAAGUCGCUUGCUUGCUUGCUUGCUUGGUUUUUUGAGACAGGGUUUCUCUGUGUAGCCCUGGCUGUCCUGGACCUCACUCUGUAGACCAGGCUGGCCUCGAACUCAGAAAUCUACCUGCCUCUGCCUCCCGAGUGCUGGGAUUAAAGGCUUGUGCCACCAUUGCCCAGCAAACACUCCAAGUCUUGUAAUGAAUCUACCAUCUUUAUUGAUUUCAGUAAGUUCUUUAACUAAGUACUAAGUGGCUUUCAAAGCUGGUUGCUCAUCAAACAAACCACCUGAGGAGUUUAAGAAGAAGAAAAAAAAAGACAAAAAAAAAAACCCAACUAUUCACCAUUGCCCUCCACAUCCUAGGGAUGUAGAGCAGAAUCUCAGACCUGGGCAUAAGCAUUGUUGUUGUUGUUGUUGUUUUAAUUUCCUCUAAAGCAAUUACAUAGGGAAAUGACUAUGGGAGAAGCUAGGUGUGGUAUACACAUUGCUCAUGGUAAAACGAUUACACCUCCGAGUAUGUUUGAGGCUUUUCAUAAAAGAACAGCAGCAUGAAGGUAAGAGGUUCCUUUAGAUGAUUCAGCCAUGCCACGGCCAUACCUGUCAUGCUGUCUGCUACUCUAGACCUGCCAUACUGUACUAAUGUUACUCAGUCAUUGCCACGCUGUACUGAUGUUACUCAGUCAUUGCCACGCUGUACUGAUGUUACUCAGUCAUUGCCACGCUGUACUGAUGUUACUCAGUCAUUGCCACGCUGUACUGAUGUUGCUCAGUCAUUGCCACGCUGUACUGAUGUUGCUCAGUCAUUGCCACGCUGUACUGAUGUUGCUCAGUCAUUGCCACGCUGUACUGAUGUUGCUCAGUCAUUGCCACGCUGUACUGAUGUUGCUCAGUCAUUGCCACGCUGUACUGAUGUUACUCAGUCAUUGCCACGCUGUACUGAUGUUACUCAGUCAUUGCCACGCUGUACUGAUGUUACUCAGUCAUUGAAGGAAAGAUUUAUUUUUUGGUGCUUACCGCCAUGCCUGAUAGCCAGAGCUUGAGUCUAGAAUUCCACAUAGUAUAAGGAGACAGGUGACUCUGGCUUACAGUUCUGUUACCUCUACAUGUGCAUACCCCAACACACACACACAGUAAAUAAAUAAAUAGGUAAGUAGCUUAAAAAACAAAAAAGAAAACACUGGUGGACUUCUGUCAUAUGCAGAGUCUUCUAUUAGAGGCUUGGAAUGUGGGGGCAAUGGAAAAGCUAUCUUUCUUUAAAACCAUAAGAAAUGCCUUUUGUUUUUUUUUCCUUAAGCAGAUUAUCAAAAUUGAGAUCCUGGCUUCUAUCAAUAGGAGCAAGUCAGUAGAAAGGACCGUAAAAACACAAACAGGACAG